rnacentral:lncRNA from 1 species
AUCAUCCUCACGCUCGAUGAUCCCAUAAUUGGCUGGAUCAUUUGGAUCAAAGGCAUCCCUCGCCUCUGCCAUUCUCAGUGCCCUAUUCAACUUCACCUCAAGAAGAAAUUUCUCCUUUCCUUCAGCUACUUUCAACUUAUUCAUCAACUCCCCUAUCACCCGAUACUCCGCCUUCAACGCGAAAUGUUUCUCCUCAAAUUCAUCAAUUAUUUUCAUCCAUUUGAAUGCAUCAUCAAAGGUCUC